rnacentral:ncRNA from 1 species
CAGAGUAGGAUAUCGCGCGUUUUAGUGCUGCAGGAUGGGAUGUUGUCUGCAGACGAAACAUGAAAAUGUACGGUGCGUUAUCCGCAUCCGCUGC